UCUCUGAUAGUAUAUCGGUUAGUACACCCGCCUGUCAUUGGGGCUUCACCUCCUCACACGCGGGAGAGCGGAGUUCGAUUCUCCGUCAGAGAG